GCAAGUCGAACGAGAAAGGUUUCUUCGGUGACCGAGUAAAGUGGCGAACGGGUGAGUAACACGUGAGUAACGUACCUUCAAGUGGGGAAUAACUGUUCGAAAGGACAGCUAAUGCCGCAUGAGACCACAGUCCCUUAUGGGACAGGGGUCAAAGCCUUGUGCGCUUGAAGAUCGGCUCGCGGCCCAUUAGGGAGUUGGCGGGGGAAUGGCCCAACAAGCCGGAGAUGGGUAGCUGGUCUGAGAGGAUGAGC
rnacentral:rRNA from 1 species